rnacentral:rRNA from 1 species
UACGGAGGGUGCGAGCGUUGUCCGGAAUCACUGGGCGUAAAGGGCGCGUAGGUGGCGACUCAAGUCAACGGUGAAAGCUCGACGCUCAACGUCGAGUCGGCCGUCGAAACUGGGACGCUUGAGCACUGUAGAGGCAGAUGGAAUUCCCGGUGUAGCGGUGAAAUGCGCAGAUAUCGGGAGGAACACCGGUGGCGAAGGCGGUUCUCUGGGCCUGUACUGACGCUGAGGAGCGAAAGCGUGGGGAGCGAACAGG